AACCUAGUGCACGGGCUUUAUGUGUAUCAGUGAGGAUUCGUCCGAGAUCACAUUUUUGCUAGUUGAAAACUAUAACUAUGACCGCUCCUCUCGGUUCUAGGACUGGGAGGGAAUCUUUGGAACAUGACUUU
rfam:Pseudogymnoascus pannorum VKM F-103 contig_1672, whole genome shotgun sequence.